rnacentral:tRNA from 1 species
GUGGAUUUGGCUCAAUGGAGAGAGCAGUGACCUGCCAACCCAAAGGUCCUGGGAUCAAUUCCCAGCAUGUACC